rnacentral:rRNA from 1 species
GUUCUUUUGUUUAUAUAAAAGAUCUGGCCUGCCCAAUGAAAAUUUAAUGGCUGCAGUAUUUUGACUGUACAAAGGUAGCAUAAUCAUUUGUCUUUUAAUUGAAGUCUGGAAUGAAUGGUUUGAUGAAAAAUUUACUUUCUUUAUUUUAAACGAAUAAUUUAAUUUUUUAAUUAAAAAGUUAAGAUAUUAAUAUAGGACGAGAAGACCCUAUAGAACUUUAUUUUGCUAAAAAUAUAGAAUUUUGUUAAUGAGUUUUUGUCUUUUUUAAGAAAUUUUGUUGGGGUGACAGAAAAAAAUUUUUAACUUUUUUUUAUUUUUUCAUUAAUUUAUGAUUUUUUUGGUCCUUUACUAUGGAUAAUAAGAUUAAGUUACCUUAGGGAUAACAGCGUUAUUAUUUUAGAGAGUUCAUAUCGAUAAAAUAGUUUGCGACCUCGAUGUUGGAUUAAAAUAAGUUUCAGGAGUAGAAUAUUGAGUAUCUAGGUCUGUUCGACCUUUAAAUUUUUACA